GUCAUACUGGAACCCAAACUCCUAAGAAAAAAUAAAAAACUGAUAGAAUGACCGCAAGUAACCCCUGUUUUCCCCAUAGGGUAGCCAGUGUGAUUGUAAAUUUUUCCCCUAUUGACGUGCAUUAAAAAUCGACUGUCAGUAUAAUAGGUCUAUAUGACAAAAAUCAUUAAUAAAAUCCGCUAAAAAAAAUGAAAUUUAAACGAGAUUCAUGCAGGUUUGCUUUUCCAUUGAAAUAACAAAGGUUUACAACUUUUAAAAUGGAUUGCUUAUCGAGCACGCUCAUAAUUUUUUUCCCAUAUUUUGAAUUAUGUUAUGAAAAUCGUUGCGCGGCAGCCCCAAUUCUAGGUGUCAAAUAAUGUUUACUGCAAAAUGGCGGAUGUUUAUAUUCAUUUCGUGAGUUUGUUCUUGUAUUUUAGAAUUAUUCUGAGCCAAAAUUAAUAGAAAUGAUUGUAAAUAUAUUGUGCGCGGUUGCAAAAGUGAGUGGCAGCCAGGAUGUGAUAUUAUAUUUCAUUCGUUUCCGUCCAAUCUAGCGGAACGUAAUACAUGGCUAAAUAGCUAAAUAUAGUAGAAUUAAAAAUAUCCUGUUUUGAAAAAGCGAAGAUAUUAUGCAACAUUCAUUUUAAACCAGCACUUGGACAGUGCGGCGGAUGUUGCCUGUAACCUCAUAGGAGGCCAUGUCCCAGCAGUGGGAACGUAAUAUAUACGUUACGGGAAAUAAAAUGUAUGGGAGGGUUUAAAGUUACAUUUUUAGAUAUUUCUCGUUAUAUUAAAAAAAGUUAUUAUUGUUAUUUUACUCAUUACGUAAAGUUUCAUAUCGAUAUCAGUUUAAAGUUUUUUGAUACCUGCAAUAGUUACGGAAUAAUCACCUGUGUAAUCGUUAAGUGUGCACUUAACGAUUACACCCUGAAUAUAUUAUAUAUUUUGUUUUUUAUUGUAUCAUAGGGAAGCGCAAGACCACGAUCUCAUAUUUCAAGUACUCUUAAAACUAUUUAAAUACUUAAGGGUAUGGAAUAAUUAAAAUAUAUUCAGUGAGCCGAUUUCGUUAUUUUUUAUUGUUAUUGUAUCUUAUAAUUUGCAAAUUUGUAAAGGCAGUUGGCAUUGUAAUGAUAAAUAAAUAUUAUUAAAACGCAUUGAUAUUUUACUUCAUUAAUCCUUAAAUCUAGUAUUACAGUAAAAUUUUUAUACAAAUAAAAUUGAUGUAUCCAUAAUUUUUUCCUUAAUAUCCUGAAUUUUUUAUCCGUAUACUCACCCCACGGAAAUAUAGAUAUACUAUAUAUAUUUCCAUGACUCAUCCUAGCUAGAAAGAGACGGAGGGGAAACGAUAAUUUUCAAGGUCAAAUUUCUUGACUGCACUUUUUCUUUGGGAGUGUGGGUUCCAGUAUGUAUAUAGUUCCGUG